CCUUCGGGUUGUAAAGCUCUGUCGGACGGGACGAAAAGUUUUGAGGUGAAUAGCCUCAAGAUGUGACGGUACCGUUAAAGGAAGCACCGGCUAACUCUGUGC
rnacentral:rRNA from 1 species